GAUGAAGAACGUAGCGAAAUGCGAUAAGUAAUGUGAAUUGCAGAAUUCAGUGAAUCAUCGAAUCUUUGAACGCACAUUGCGCCCGCCAGUAUUCUGGCGGGCUUGCCUGUUCGAGCGUCAUUUCAACCCUCAAGACCCCUUCGGGGGACUUGGUGUUGGGGACCGGCACAGGGGCCUGCCUGCUUGUCUUGCAGCGCCCUCGCCGCCCCCGAAAUGAAUUGGCGGCCUCGUCGCGACCUCCCCUGCGUAGUAGCACAACCUCGCAACGGGAACGUGACGGCGGCCACUGCCGUAAAACAACCCCAAUUUUAUUAGAGUUGACCUCGAAUCAGGUAGGAAUACCCGCUGAACUUAAGCAUAUCAAUAAGCGGAGGA
rnacentral:misc_RNA from 1 species